rnacentral:rRNA from 1 species
UACGUAGGUGGCAAGCGUUGUCCGGCAUUAUUGGGCGUAAAGCGCGCGCAGGCGGUCCUUUAAGUCUGAUGUGAAAGCCCACGGCUCAACCGUGGAGGGUCAUUGGAAACUGGGGGACUUGAGUACAGAAGAGAAGAGUGGAAUUCCACGUGUAGCGGUGAAAUGCGUAGAGAUGUGGAGGAACACCAGUGGCGAAGGCGACUCUUUGGUCUGUAACUGACGCUGAGGCGCGAAAGCGUGGGGAGCAAACAGG